rnacentral:snRNA from 1 species
AGCAAUACAUAUGCUAGAAGAAAACUGGAACGAUAGGGAGAGGGUUAGAAUGGACCUUGCGUAAGGAUGAGACGCAUAUUCGUGAUACGUUCAAUAUUUUC